AGAGACUUUUCCCUUCGUUUGUUCCCUUCGUUUUACACGCAAACGGCGAUUUCGCCUCUGAAUACGAUUCUGUCUAAACAAAACUCGGGCAAAAGUGGAGAUUUGGAAAUUCAUUUCGCGUUGUAUUUAAACUGAGAAAAACGAAGAAAAAGUGUGACCACGGAGCCAGCGGCUCGAGGGAAAUGAUUAGCUGCUAACAAGUUCAACAGGUUAAGGUCAUACAGUCAUGUUAGCUAUGUGUUGUGCAGUUGAGGAACCCUGAACUGGUAUUUUAUGCUAACGUUAUACCAAAAGAAAGAAGAAAGAAGUAGCUGCCAUUCGAAGAGAUGUUUGGAUAACCACGGUUCACACCCUGCAAUGAACACUUUCGUGUCAGGAGCGACUGCUUUGGACUCCAGUUUUGUGCGCAGUCUUUUUGCACACACCUCGGCGAGGGAGAAGGACAAACAACAUUCAGCCAAUGAAGCACAAAAUGCGUGACUUGCAACAAUCUCACUGGCUGUUCAACCACCAAUGUGGAGGAGCAUGAAGAGGCUACUACUUCUACUGACCAUCACAGUGACCACAACUAUGAAAAGACCUGGCAUCGGAGAUGUCAGCACUGGAAAAUUCUCAGAUCUAAUCUUAUGGCCACCUAAGGAACAGCAGUGAGAUCACAACACAUGAUUGGUA